rnacentral:lncRNA from 1 species
CUUGAAUCAAAAUGGGGGGACCUGGCUGGGCAUUAUUGCCUCACAAUGCGGGAGUUUAUUGCUGAAACCUGCUUAUCCCCCAGCUCCGCGCUCCAUGGGAACUGCGGUCAGGUGGAAAGUGAUUCUGUUCUCUGCCGAGGCGGCUUGAAGUGUCGUAAGACCCGCUAAAGUCCUAAAGCCCUUCCUCGUAACUGAGACAUUUAGGAUAAUCUUUAUGGGAGUUUUGCAUGAGCUUCUGCUUUUUGUUGCACUUAGAAGGAGAGUUAAUGAUGAGCUUUCACUGGCUUCUCCCCCCCCCCCCUUUUUUUUUAAAUCUAAGCCCAAAAGCGCCUGUUUAAGUUAAGUACCACCUCCCUCCAGCCCUUGGGAAACCACUCAAGAGGGCUUUGCUUGGCUCUGUGUUCAUGACACAUAAUGAAAACAAUUUUACGCUGUGGAGGGAAGUAUUGGGCAAUUACUGAUGUAACAGCCACCUGCAGUAGCGAGCCCUGGCUGCAGCAUUGCGAGGUUCAUGAAUAUUUUAUGGUGUGAUGUUAUUUUGAAUGGCUGGGGCAGGUGAAGGGGGCCCCAAGGGUGUAAUAAGUAACUCUGCUGGAGGCUGUGUAGCUGCUCUGUUUCCCUGCAGAGCCCACUGUGUAACACCAAGAAGCAUCCUGACCCUGCCUGGAUCGACGCGAGGGCAGCUGAGGCUGAGGCAAGAUGCUCUGACAAGUCACGGAUCCCAUCCAGGAUAACAUAUUACAUUUAUUGUCAUGUUUACUUGGGCUGCUCUCCGCCGUGCGACAGUUUCUCAGACUUUCCUUAUUGUUAGCCUUUUUGACUGCUGACUGCCAAUGCUGAGAAUAGCGCCUGCCAUAUACCAGCUGGACGGGACUUCUGUAAUUUCACCCUCUCAUUUCACAAGUGAGGAUGCAAAAGCUGAAAGUGACUGAGUAGCUUCCCAAAGUCAACACCAGGCUGAUGAUAAGAGGAAAGUUUUGAUCUUAGGUAUUUUGGCUUCCAUUCCAGUGUUCUCUCACUUCAUCGAAUUGUGUGUCUAAUACCUGAAUCAAAGGAGUUUGAAUUGAGUUGUUAUUCUAAUAAUAAAGCUUGGCUCUUUAAUGUAAAUGUAACCAUUCAUUUCCUUCUAAAAAGUGAUGAAUCGAUUCUUAAUGAUGAGCAAAUACUUUUAAUGCUACCUAUCAAAACUGUGUUGGAUGAAAGAGGGCACGAUUCCCAAUUUUUUAUGGAAAACUACAAAAAAGGAGUAACAUACCUG